UACGAAGGGUGCAAGCGUUACUCGGAAUUACUGGGCGUAAAGCGUGCGUAGGUGGUUUGUUAAGUCUGACGUGAAAGCCCUGGGCUCAACCUGGGAAUUGCAUUGGAUACUGGCAGGCUAGAGUGCGGUAGAGGAUGGCGGAAUUCCCGGUGUAGCAGUGAAAUGCGUAGAGAUCGGGAGGAACACCCGUAGCGAAGGCGGCACUCUGGGCCGGUACUGACGCUGAGGAGCGAAAGCGUGGGGAGCAAACAGG
rnacentral:rRNA from 1 species